ACGGAAGGCAGCAGUAGGGAAUUUUCGGCAAUGGGGGAAACCCUGACCGAGCAAUGCCGCGUGAAUGAUGAAAUUCUUCGGAAUGUAAAAUUCUGUUAUUAGGGACGAAAGUAAGUAAAAGGAAAUGGUUAUUUAUUGACGGUACCUAAUUAGAAAGCCCCGGCUAACUAUGUGCCAGCAGCCGCGGUAAUACAUAGGGGGCAAGCGUUAUCCGGAUUUAUUGGGCGUAAAGCGUGCGUAGGUGGCCGCUUAAGUCUGUCGUGAAAGCCCACAGCUUAACUGUGGAGGGUCGAUGGAAACUGGGCAGCUUGAAUACAGAAGGGGUAAGUGGAAUUCCAUGUGUAGCGGUAAAAUGCUUAGAUAUAUGGAGGAACACCAGUGGCGAAGGCGGCUUACUGGUCUGUUAUUGACACUGAGGCACGAAAGCGUGGGGAGCAAACAGGAUUAGAUACCCUGGUA
rnacentral:rRNA from 1 species